rnacentral:rRNA from 1 species
UACAGAGGUCUCAAGCGUUGUUCGGAUUCAUUGGGCGUCAAGGGUGCGUAGGCGGCGCGGUAAGUCGGGUGUGAAAUCUCGGGGCUUAACUCCGAAACUGCAUUCGAUACUGCGGUGCUUGAGGACUGGAGAGGAGACUGGAAUUCAUGGUGUAGCAGUGAAAUGCGUAGAGAUCAUGAGGAAGACCAGUGGCGAAGGCGGGUCUCUGGACAGUUCCUGACACUGAGACACGAAGGCCAGGGGAGCAAACGGG